ensembl:snoRNA SNORD79 Small nucleolar RNA SNORD79
UACUGUUGAUGAUGUUUUUAAAUAAUGGGAAUCUCUCUGAAAGAGGAUGAAGAGUAAUUUUUUAAAACUGAAACAGUA